rnacentral:rRNA from 1 species
UACGUAGGGUGCAAGCGUUGUCCGGAAUUAUUGGGCGUAAAGAGCUCGUAGGCGGUUUGUUGCGUCGGCUGUGAAAUCCCGAGGCUCAACCUCGGGUCUGCAGUCGAUACGAGCAAACUAGAGUGUUGCAGGGGAGACUGGAAUUCCUGGUGUAGCGGUGAAAUGCGCAGAUAUCAGGAGGAACACCGGUGGCGAAGGCGGGUCUCUGGGACGGUACUGACGCUGAGACGCGAAAGCGUGGGGAGCGAACAGG